rnacentral:rRNA from 1 species
GGCGUAAAGCGCAUGCAGGUGGCCUUGCAAGUCGGACGUGAAAUCCCACGGCUCAACCGUGGAAGUGCAUUCGAAACUGCGAGGCUGGAGUCCUGUAGAGGGGGGUAGAAUUUC